rnacentral:rRNA from 1 species
AACGAACGCUGGCGGCGUGCUUAACACAUGCAAGUCGAACGGAAAGGCACUGCUUUUGUGGGGUGCUCGAGUGGCGAACGGGUGAGUAACACGUGAGUAACCUGCCCUUCACUUUGGGAUAACUUCAGGAAACUGGGGCUAAUACCGUAUAGCAGCUCCUGCUCCAUGGAGGGGGUUGGAAAGUUGCGGCGGUUGCGGAUGGACGCGCGGCUUAUCAGCUUGUUGGUGGGGUAGUGGCUGACCAAGGCAUUGACGGGUAGCCGGCCUGAGAGGGUGAACGGGCACCAUGGUCCUACGAGAGGGACCAGUCGGGAAUGUUGGGCAACGGUGGGGAAUAUUGUCCAAUGGUCGCGCGUCUGAUGAGGCGACGUUCCGUUUGUGAUGACGUCUUGUGGGGUAAGAACAGCUGUAGCCUGUUACGAAGCGUGAGUGACGGUACUGGGUAAAUAAGCACCGGCUAACUACGUG